UAACAGCUUGAACUCUUUUAAAAUUUAUGUAAUUAUCGAGAGUUGGAUUUUGUUUAAACCUAAGGUAAGCCGCUUUACUAUCAUUGACAGCUGUCGCACACCUGUUAUUCCACCAAGGUACUGCAAUAUGUUUGUGCCUCUUUGAAGUAUUUGCACCGCUAUUUGAUAAGUUCCUACGUGGAACGGAACGUUCCACAGCUGUCAAAAUAAUUUUACAGAACCUAUUGUAAUUGUUUAAGGGUUCAUUGAUAUCAUACUCGAAAUCCAAAAGUAAUCGAUUAACAGUUUCAGAAUAAAGAUCCCAAUUAACGAGACGUAGGUUUAUACGAUUUAACAAAAGUUUAUUAACUUCAUCUAUAGGAGCAUGUUGUUCACCUGACGGAGUUGAUGAAGAGUUCUUUGUGUUUAUUUUAGUAAAAGUCGGCAGAUGCUGCAACGCUCAGAAUUCUUACAGAAUUUAGCUAAAUGUCCAUACCUCAAGCACCGGUAGCAUUGUUUAACUGGUGGUAUAUAUGGAGUGACAUUGUGGCGCCAACCUCCAAUAUCCAGAUAUUCAGGUAAUACAGAUGCAGCAAAAGUAAUUGUCACGGUUAGAGUUGGCUGUAACACAUAUCCAUGAGUCAAGGUAUUUUUUCUUAAAAUUCUUUUAAUAGCAAUAAUUUUCUUAGAACUCGAUAUCAUAGUAUAUAUUUUUUUAUUAGAUAUAUUUGUAGGUACAUUUCUAAUAACGCCUGUAACUUCUGUUGAAGAAGCAGGAAUACUGGCCUUAAAAUGGUAGUCAUUUAAAAAAGUUUUAUUAUUUAAAAAAGCAUUGGCUAAGUCUGGCUUUUGAAAGUAUACUCCGAUUUUGAAUUUAUUUAUAGAUCUAAGAUAAGUUACCCCUUUAUUAAAUCGUUUUAAACAGGAGGAGAGUGAGAGCAAGUCUCUGGAUCCAAUGGUUUUCUGACUAUCUGAGGAUUCUACAAAGACAACAAAUUCUGUCCCAGGGGAUUCCUCGGGAUAUCUUCUAAUAUAAUCUGUGACGUAGUAAGGUUUAUACUUAUCGGCCUUAUCAAUUUCAGAUUCUGAGUCAGUAGAAGUAUCUUCCGAAUAUAUAUCCUUGUCAUUACAAGGUUCAUGGUCUACAUCACCUGAAUCGUCAUCUUUUUUUUUCCAUUUUCUACAACUGCGCUUCCCCAUGAAUGCUUAUUAUAUUACUGUCGCUGAAUUUAGUGAAAAUAUAAUAUUUUAUUCAAUAAUAAGAAUUGAUAGAGAUAGUUUUAAUAAAUUAAUAAAAAAAAUUUAAAAAA